rnacentral:rRNA from 1 species
GAGUUGGGAGGAAGGGUUGUAGAUUAAUACUCUGCAAUCUUGACGUUACCGACAGAAUAAGCACCGGCUAACUCUGUGCCUGCAGCCGCGGUAAUACAGAGGGUGCAAGCGUUAAUCGGAAUUACUGGCCGUAAAGCGCGCCUAGGUGGUUCGUUAAGUUGGAUGUGAAAUCCCCGGGCUCAACCU